AUUGAACGCUGGCGGCAGGCCUAACACAUGCAAGUCGAACGAGUGGCGGACGGGUGAGUAAUGCUUGGGACUCUCGCUUAUGGAGGGGGAUAACUACGGGAAACGUUAGCUAAUACCGCCUACCAUGGGAUGAGCCCAUGUGGGAUUAGGUAGUUGGUGGGGUAAAGGCUCACCAAGGCGACGCUCCCUAGCUGGUCUGAGAGGAUGACCAGCCACACUGGGACUGAGACACGGCCCAGACUCCUACGGGAGGCAGCAGUGGGGAAUAUUGCGCAAUGGGCGCAAUCUGAUGCAGCCAUGCCGCGUGAAUGAAGAAGGCCUGCGGGUUGUAAAGUACUUUCGGUAGCGAGGCGUUAACUACAGAAGAAGCACCGGCUAACUCCGUGCCAGCCGCCGCGGUAAUAC
rnacentral:rRNA from 1 species